rnacentral:rRNA from 1 species
GGCUCAGGAUGAACGCUAGCGACAGGCUUAACACAUGCAAGUCGAGGGGCAGCAUUGUUUCUAGCAAUACAGACAGAUGGCGACCGGCGCACGGGUGAGUAACGCGUAUGCAACCUGCCUAUCACAGGGGAAUAACCCGGCGAAAGUCGGACUAAUACCGCAUAAAACAGGGGUCCCGCAUGGGAAUAUUUGUUAAAGAAACGAUUCGCUGAUAGAUGGGCAUGCGUUCCAUUAUAUAGUUGGUGAGGUAACGGCUCACCAAGUCUGCGAUGGAUAGGGGUUCUGAGAGGAAGGUCCCCCACACUGGGACUGAGACACGGACCAGACUCCUACGGGAGGCAGCAGUGAGGAAUAUUGGUCAAUGGGCGAGAGCCUGAACCAGCCAAGUCGCGUGAAGGAUGAAAGAUCUAUGGUUCGUAAACUUCUUUUAUAGGGGAAUAAAGUUCACGACGUGUCCUGUUUUGUAUGUACCCUAUGAAUAAGGAUCGGCUAACUCCGUGCCAGCAGCCGCGGUAAUACGGAGGAUCCGAGCGUUAUCCGGAUUUAUUGGGUUUAAAGGGUGCGUAGGUGGUUUUUUAAGUCAGCGGUGAAAGUUUGUGGCUCAACCAUAAAAUUGCCGUUGAAACUGGAGGACUUGAGUAUGUUUGAGGUAGGCGGAAUGCGUGGUGUAGCGGUGAAAUGCAUAGAUAUCACGCAGAACUCCAAUUGCGAAGGCAGCUUACUAAACCAUAACUGACACUGAAGCACGAAAGCGUGGGGAUCAAACAGGAUUAGAUACCCUGGUAGUCCACGCAGUAAACGAUGAUUACUAGGAGUUUGCGAUACACAGUAAGCUCCACAGCGAAAGCGUUAAGUAAUCCACCUGGGGAGUACGCCGGCAACGGUGAAACUCAAAGGAAUUGACGGGGGCCCGCACAAGCGGAGGAACAUGUGGUUUAAUUCGAUGAUACGCGAGGAACCUUACCCGGGCUUAAAUUGCAUUUGAAUAUAUUGGAAACAGUAUAGCCGUAAGGCAAAUGUGAAGGUGCUGCAUGGUUGUCGUCAGCUCGUGCCGUGAGGUGUCGGCUUAAGUGCCAUAACGAGCGCAACCCUUAUCUUUAGUUACUAACAGGUCAUGCUGAGGACUCUAGAGAGACUGCCGUCGUAAGAUGUGAGGAAGGUGGGGAUGACGUCAAAUCAGCACGGCCCUUACGUCCGGGGCUACACACGUGUUACAAUGGGGGGUACAGAAGGCAGCUACCUGGUGACAGGAUGCUAAUCCCAAAAGCCUCUCUCAGUUCGGAUCGAAGUCUGCAACCCGACUUCGUGAAGCUGGAUUCGCUAGUAAUCGCGCAUCAGCCAUGGCGCGGUGAAUACGUUCCCGGGCCUUGUACACACCGCCCGUCAAGCCAUGAAAGCCGGGGGUACCUGAAGUACGUAACCGCAAGGAGCGUCCUAGGGUA